rnacentral:rRNA from 1 species
AGAAUCAGAGUAAUUUUACCAAAUUUUUUAUCUAUACAGAUAUGAAGCUAAAAUUUUAAGUACUUUUUGUUACCUUUUGCAUAAGGGUUAAACUAAAAAUUUCAGAAAUUUUGAAAUCCCGAAAUAAGAAGAUCUAAUUAGAACUUAAUAUUAGUUUCUGAACUGGUGUAGCAAUACCAGAAUAAAAGUUUUAUUUAGGGGCGAAAAACCUUCAAUUCUUAUGAUAUCUGGAAACCAGGGAAAAGUAUUAGUACUAUAUACAAAUACGGAGUGUUGAGAUUCCGUAUAGAAAAAUUUCUCAAGGUUUAGAUGUUCUUUUGGAGUAGUAUUCCUAAGGUACUUUAAAAAGAAGAUAAAUUUGAAUGAAAUUUAAUUAUACUUGGUUAAGAAGAGAAACUUUUGCCCUUCUUUGAUAAUGUUUAGAUUAGUAGUAAAAUUAAUUAAAAUAAAGGAACUCGGCAAAUAAUUACCUCGACUGUUUAACAAAAACAUAGCCUUAGGUUAUAUCUAAGGUCAAGCCUGCCCAAUGUUAUAAAUGAAUGGCCGCAGUACCCUGACUGUGCGAAGGUAGCGUAAUCAGUUGGCUUUUAAAUGAAGUCUUGUAUGAAAGGAUUAACGUGGUAAAGCUGUCUCUAUUUUAUUCUAUCAAACUUGCUAAGAAGGUGAAAAUUCCUUCGAGAAGAAAAAAGACGAGAAGACCCUUAGAGUUUUAAUUAGAUUCGCCAUCUGGUGAUGAAAUUUUUGUUGGGGCGACAAGGGAACAAAUAACUUCCCUGAUUCGAUUUAACUAGACGGUUUUUUCAAGUGAGAAUAAACUACCUGAGGGAUAACAGCAUAAUUCUUUUUGAGUUUGUGACCUCGAUGUUGGACUAGGAACUUAAUAGACUAGCCGUCUAUAUCUGUGGUUCUGUUCGAACUAUUUUUCCUACAUGAUCUGAGUUCAGACCGGCGUAAGCCAGGUCAGAUUCUAUCUUUUAAAUUGUAUUUUUAGUACGAAAGGACCGAAAUACACAUUAUAUAUG